UUACAGCCAUGCUAAUUUUGAAACAGCAGUUCUCAUAUGAUCACUGAAAUUAAGCAAGAUCUAGCCUGGUCAGUACUUAGAUGGGUAACCACUUGGAAAUAUCAGGUGCUGUUA